GGUUUAGCUCAGUGGUAGAACAUUUGCUUAGCAUGAGUGAGGCCCUGGGUUCAAUCCUCAGGACCA
rnacentral:tRNA from 1 species